GAUGAAGAACGCAGCGAAAUGCGAUAAGUAAUGUGAAUUGCAGAAUUCAGUGAAUCAUCGAAUCUUUGAACGCACAUUGCGCCCGCCAGUAUUCUGGCGGGCAUGCCUGUUCGAGCGUCAUUUCAACCAUCAAGCCCCCGGCUUGUGUUGGGGACCUGCGGCUGCCGCAGGCCCUGAAAAGCAGUGGCGGGCUCGCUGUCACACCGAGCGUAGUAGCAUACAUCUCGCUCUGGGCGUGCUGCGGGUUCCGGCCGUUAAAAAGCCUUAUUUACCCAAGGUUGACCUCGGAUCAGGUAGGAAGACCCGCUGAACUUAAGCAUAUCAAUAAGCGGAGGA
rnacentral:misc_RNA from 1 species